rnacentral:rRNA from 1 species
AGGAAAAGAAACCAACAGGGAUUGCCUCAGUAACGGCGAGUGAAGCGGCAAAAGCUCAAAUUUGAAAUCUGGCGCCCGCCCGAAUUGUAAUUUGAAGAAGCGACUCUGGUACCGAUCCUUGUCUAUGUUCCUUGGAACAGGACGUCACAGAGGGUGAGAAUCCCGUGCGAUGGGGAUGCGGGUGCUGUGUAGAGCGUUUUCGACGAGUCGAGUUGUUUGGGAAUGCAGCUCUAAGUGGGUGGUAAAUUCCAUCUAAAGCUAAAUAUUGGCGAGAGACCGAUAGCGAACAAGUACAGUGAUGGAAAGAUGAAAAGAACUUUGAAAAGAGAGUGAAAAAGUACGUGAAAUUGUUGAAAGGGAAGGGCUUGGGAUCAGACUUUGUAUUUCCAUGGCUGCCUCUCGGGGUGGUCCUCUGGGUUUACAGGGCCAGCAUGGGUUCUGCGGGCGAGAAAAGGACGCGGGAAUGUGGCUCUGCUUCGGUGGAGUGUUAUAGCCCGCGGUACUGGUCGCCACGCGGGACCGAGGACUGCGAAUCUAGGAUGCUGGCAUAAUGAUCUUAAGCCGCCCGUCUU